rnacentral:rRNA from 1 species
GACGAACGCUGGCGGCGUGCCUAAUACAUGCAAGUCGAACGCUGAAGAGAGGAGCUUGCUCUUCUUGGAUGAGUUGCGAACGGGUGAGUAACGCGUAGGUAACCUGCCUUGUAGCGGGGGAUAACUAUUGGAAACGAUAGCUAAUACCGCAUAACAAUGGAUGACCCAUGUCAUUUAUUUGAAAGGGGCAAAUGCUCCACUACAAGAUGGACCUGCGUUGUAUUAGCUAGUAGGUGAGGUAACGGCUCACCUAGGCGACGAUACAUAGCCGACCUGCGAGGGUGGUCGGCCACACUGGGACUGAGACACGGCCCAGACUCCUACGGGAGGCAGCAGUAGGGAAUCUUCGGCAAUGGGGGCAACCCUGACCGAGCAACGCCGCGUGAGUGAAGAAGGGUUUCGGAUCGUAAAGCUCUGUUGUAAGUCAAGAACGAGUGUGGGAGUGGAAAGUUCACACUGUGACGGUAGCUUACCAGAAAGGGACGGCUAACUACGUG